rnacentral:rRNA from 1 species
AGCAGUAGCCGCGGGAAAACGUAGGGUGCGAGCGUUAAUCGGAAUUACUGGGCGUAAAGCGUGCGCAGGCGGUUGUGUAAGACAGGUGUGAAAUCCCCGGGCUUAACCUGGGAACUGCGCUUGUGACUGCACAGCUAGAGUAUGGCAGAGGGGGGUAGAAUUCCACGUGUAGCAGUGAAAUGCGUAGAGAUGUGGAGGAAUACCGAUGGCGAAGGCAGCCCCCUGGGCCAAUACUGACGCUCAUGCACGAAAGCGUGGGGAGCAAACAGGAUUAGAUACCCCCGUAGUCCCUGUCUCUUAUAC